CAAUUUCAUGGGCUGCAACCAG
rnacentral:piRNA from 1 species